rnacentral:rRNA from 1 species
AUUGAACGCUGGCGGCAUGCCUUACACAUGCAAGUCGAACGGUAACAGGUCUUCGGAUGCUGACGAGUGGCGAACGGGUGCGUAAUACAUCCGAACGUGCCCCGACGUGGGGGAUAACGAGGCGAAAGCUUUGCUAAUACCUCAUACGAUCUAAGGAUGAAAGCAGGGGACCGCAAGGCCUUGCACGUUUUGAGCGGUCGAUGGCAGAUUAGGUAGUUGGUGGGAUAAAAGCUUACCAAGCCGACGAUCUGUAGCUGGUCUGAGAGGACGAGCAGCCACACUGGGACUGAGACACGGCCCAGACUCCUACGGGAGGCAGCAGUGGGGAAUUUUGGACAAUGGGCGAAAGCCUGAUCCAGCAAUGCCGCGUGCAGGAUGAAGGCCUUCGGGUUGUAAACUGCUGUUGUACGGAACGAAAAGGCUCUGGCUAAUACCUGGGGCACAUGACGGUACCGUAAGAAUAAGCACCGGCUAACUACGUG